rnacentral:lncRNA from 1 species
UAGCCAUUGAAAACCCCUUUGUUGGUUAUGAUGGGUUACUCUGUUUUUUUCCCAACACACUUAUAAUCUUUAGAUUUCUACGUUGUUUUUAUCCAAACAUUUCUCUAGAACAACUUCUCACUGAAUGACUUCUGAGUGAAACCAACAGCUCUGUGGUUACAUUUCCUUACUCUUCUAGCAAAGUAAAUCUGGAUUAACUCCCCAGAAUUUGCUGAAAUUGUUAUUUCUUUAGGAAGGAGUGGGAAUUGAAAAUCCACGUAGUCACUGUAGUAUAUAGUAUAUUGCUCCGUGAUCCACUUUCCUUUGGCAUCAGUGCAUGAUGCUCAUUACAUGUUUUGAAUAUUGCAGCUGAAAUUGAAUGAAUUAUAAUUGACACAUUCAGGCUAGAGGUGCUAGCUAGCUUGCUUGCUUGCUACUUUUAUUAACCAGUUUUUCCCUGUUUUUUUCUCUUUCUAAGGAGAAGAUUGAUACUUCCUUCAAGAAAACAUUAUGAACCCAGUCCAGUCUUUUUGCACUGAAUUAUGUAUGGAGUCACCACAAUUGCAAGUAUCAGUCAAUGCCUACACAGAAAUGCAAGGCUAGACAAGUAAUGGCUUUAGACUCCCUCGCAGUGAAUGUGGCGAGAGACCAGGGAAGCAGACACGCUACUAACA